rnacentral:tRNA from 1 species
GCGAGCGUGGUGGAACUGGUAGACACACAGGACUUAAAAUCCUGAGGCAGAAAUGCCGUGCGGGUUCGACUCCCGCCGCUCGUACCA